rnacentral:tRNA from 1 species
UCCUCGGUAGCUCAAUGGUAGAGUAGGUGGCUGUUAACCACUUGGCUGCAAGUUCGAAUCUUGCCCGAGGAG